AUGGCAACGGUGGAGGUGCAAGUGGAGCAAUGGCAAGAACGCGGGAUCCAAGUGAUGGUGCUGCUCAGCUUCGCGAUGCAGCUAGUGCUUCUCAUCCUGGCGGAGUUCCGCCGGCGAAAAGACUCUGGCAUGCUAAGGGCUGUGAUUUGGACAGCCUACAUGCUGGCCGACUCGACCGCGAUAUACAUCCUGGGACACCUGUCCUUGACAAGCAGAUCAGGCGAUCACCAGCUGAUGGCAUUCUGGGCGCCGUUCCUGCUGGUGCAUCUCGGCGGGCAGGACAACAUCACCGCCUACGCCAUCGAGGACAACCGGCUCUGGCUGCGGCACCUGCAGUCACUCACCGUGCAGGUAGCCGCGGCUGCCUACGUCCUCUAUGAGUCUGUCAUCGUCGGCACCCAGGCCCUGCUCCAGAAGGCCGCCGCCAUCAUGUUUAUGGUGGGCAUUGUCAAGUACGGGGAGAGGGUGUGGGCGCUCAAGCGUGCCGGCACUAGCGCUUCGGACAAGAACUACCGGUCCUUUGAGAAGACGGCCUUGAUUUCGACGGAACCUUAUACAAAUCGGCGGGACACAGAGUGCCUGCUACGGAUUGCCCACCUCCUGCUCAAUAUUCCAAAGGAUUUGUUGCAGGGGCCAUUGCCCAUCGUCAUGUACCGACACGACGACGCAAUCUCCGUGGACGAGCUGUACAAGGUGGUGCAGAUGCAGCUCAGCCUGAUGCACGAUGUCCUCUACAGCAAGGCUGAGGUGAUCCACACAUGGUAUGGCCUUUGCAUCCGCGUCAUUUCUCCGGUGUUCACCGCCAUCGCGUUGGUGUUAUUCCACUUGUCAGAUUUGUCAGCGGGUGACCACUACAGCAGAGCAGAUGUUGUCAUUACAUAUGUUCUGUUAGGUGGGGCUGUUAUGCUGGAGAUGGUAUCGGUGCUAAGGGCCAUGUUCUCUAGAUGGCAAAACGUGAUACGAACGGACCUGAGCGGGGGGCUCAAGCAUGUUGUGCCGGCUGGUGAUGGCUUGAGAAAAGGUGAUGUCUUGAGAAAAAGAAAGUACAUUUGGCGUUUGCUUGACCGUGCAAUCGCGUCUAUCCGCCUAUUCAUCCUUCCAAAGAGGGACGAAUCGAGAUGGUGGUGGUCGGACUCUAUGGGGCAGCACAACCUGAUUGACAUGUGUGUUCUCAGUAAGGUUAGUCGAAGAAGCAGAAUCGCGGGCUGGAUGGGGGUCGAGGACUGGUGGAACACAAUGGUCUAUUCCAGCUUUGUAUGUGUCUCUGCAACUAUCAUCAAGGAAGUAGUGGUGGAACAAGUGCUCGGAACUAGUCACCGCAGGACGGAUGCGCAGUCCUACUCCAGGUGGAGGGAUGCACACUUCUACUCCAAGAUCAAUGAGGAGGAGCCAGAUCACAUCAUCAAUUCACGGGGCCGGGCAGCUUUAAAGAAGUGGGGUUUGUACGAGAGACUAGGCAGGUUCCUGGAUAAGGAGUUGGACGAGAGCAUCCUCGCAUGGCACAUCGCCACCGAUAUCUACCUCCGUAAGCACAGAGAUCAGGGGCAAGCUGCUGCAGAUCAGAUGCAUCGCCUUGUUGAGGCAACCGAGGCGAUCUCCAAUUACAUGCUUUUCCUCCUUGCCACACGCCCCUACAUGCUAGCGGGCUCCGUCAGCCACACUAGGUACGUUGAAUUGUGUUAUUGUCUCACUAGUCUCAAAUGCAGCAGAGCCCAACAUUUGGCCAGCUUGCUAACAUCGAGGGCUGAGUUGUUGAAACAUUUAGAGGAGAUCAAAGAACGACCAAGCAUUGGCGAUAACAAAACAAUGGUUUUAGCACGCGAACUUGCUCGUGAGCUGGUCUCUCAUGACUCUGUCCCAUCCGCUGCUAUGCUGAAGAUGCUUUCGGAAGUGUGGGCGGAAGUUUUGUGCUACGCGGGGUACAGAUGCAGCGGGUAUUCUCAUGCCAAGCAGCUGAGCAACGGUGGCGAGUUCCUCACUAUCGCUGCCCUUUUGGUGGAGUACUUCAGAAGGAACAUCCUGAAACCUAUUUGGACCAAAGAGCCAUCCCCGUCUAUAUCCCUCUAUGAACAAGGGAACAUCUGUGAGCCUAGUGAGACAUCGAUACUCGAUGUCUAA
rnacentral:rRNA from 1 species